CCCUUAGAUGUUCUGGGCCGCACGCGUGCUACACUGAGUAAUUCAAUGGGUAAGGGAACGCUAGAGCAUUACCUAAUCUUGAAAUUUGCUCGUGAUGGGGAUCGACGGUUGCAAUUUUCCGUCGUGAACGAGGAAUACCUUGUAGGCGCAUGUCAUCAUCAUGCGCCGAAUACGUCCCUGCCCUUUGUACACACCGCCCGUCGCUCCUACCGAUUGAGUGAUCCGGUGAGGCUCUGGGACCUGGACGGAAAGAGCAUUUCGCUUGUUCUGUUUGGGAAACUUGGUCGAACCUUAUCAUUUAGAGGAAGGAGAAGUCGUAACA
rnacentral:rRNA from 1 species